CUCUCCCUUGAAAGUUACUUGGUUUGUUCUGUCGGCUCGUUGCUCAAACCCUCCCUUGUUCCAGGCAUAGUCUAAGUACUGCAGUAGAAUGCGAGCGCACGGCCGAAAACUACCAGACGAGACAGCCACUACGCCGCCCCGUCGAGGAGGGACGGCCUGCUCCAACAUUUAGCCUACUUUGUUUAUAUUCUACCUGUCUGUAAAAAGAUUUGAAUAAAGAUGUUUUUCGAACUA